rnacentral:rRNA from 1 species
UACGGAGGGUGCAAGCGUUGUUCGGAAUCACUGGGCGUAAAGCGCGUGUAGGCGGCCUUCUAAGUCUGAUGUGAAAGCCCGGGGCUCAACCCCGGAAAUGCAUUGGAUACUGGGAGGCUGGAGUACCGGAGAGGAGGGUGGAAUUCCUGGUGUAGCGGUGAAAUGCGUAGACAUCAGGAGGAACACCGGUGGCGAAGGCGGCCCUCUGGACGGAUACUGACGCUGAGACGCGACAGCGUGGGGAGCAAACAGG